rnacentral:rRNA from 1 species
UACAGAGGUGGCAAGCGUUGUUCGGAAUUACUGGGCGUAAAGCGUGCGCAGGCGGCGCCGCAAGUCGAGUGUGAAAUCCCCGAGCUUAACUUGGGAAUUGCGCUCGAAACUACGAUGCUGGAGUGUGGCAGAGGGAGGUGGAAUUCCACGUGUAGCGGUGAAAUGCGUAGAGAUGUGGAGGAACACCGAUGGCGAAGGCAGCCUCCUGGGCCAACACUGACGCUCAUGCACGAAAGCGUGGGGAGCAAACAGG